UCGACAAAUCUCUGCUCAGUGCCUACUGUCUAAUGAAGAUCCGUGAAUGCCGCAAGGGGCAAAUCUAUGAUCUUGGGUUCAUUGACCCAUAUACCGUGAAUGGGUAUACUGUCGACAACUCUCCCAAGGACACGGAGAAUAACUUGGUAUAUGCCUUAAGGAAAAACUCAUACAAAAGGGCAAUACUAUUUCCUUACAACUUCGCGUUUCACUAUAUCCUGCUAGUCAUUGAACCCGACACCGGAGUAGUAGAAGUCAUGGACUCGAAGAGUAAACCCCUUGAGGCGUGGGGGGACAUGGCUGAUAUCCUCCAGAA